UCUACGGGAGGCUGCAGUGGGGAAUAUUGGGCAAUGGAGGCAACUCUGACCCAGCAACGCCGCGUGAAUGAUGAAGGUCUUCGGAUUGUAAAGUUCUUUUCUAAGGGAAGAAAAUGACGGUACCUGAUUAAGAAGCCCCGGCUAACUACGUGCCAGCAGCCGCGGUAAUACGUAGGGGGCAAGCGUUAUCCGGAUUUACUGGGUGUAAAGGGAGCGUAGACGGUGAUGCAAGUCAGAAGUGAAAGCCCGGGGCUCAACUCCGGGACUGCUUUUGAAACUGUGUGACUGGAGUGCAGGAGAGGUAAGCGGAAUUCCUGGUGUAGCGGUGAAAUGCGUAGAUAUCAGGAGGAACACCAGUGGCGAAGGCGGCUUACUGGACUGUAACUGACGUUGAGGCUCGAAAGCGUGGGGAACAAACAGGAUUAGAUACCCUAGUAGUC
rnacentral:rRNA from 1 species